rnacentral:rRNA from 1 species
UACGAGGGGUGCAAGCGUUGCUCGGAAUUAUUGGGCGUAAAGAGCUCGUAGGCGGCCAGUUGCGUCUGCUGUGAAAUCCCGGGGCUCAACCCCGGGCGUGCAGUGGAUACGGGCUGGCUAGAGGCAGGCAGGGGAGAACGGAAUUCCCGGUGUAGCGGUGAAAUGCGCAGAUAUCGGGAGGAACACCGGUGGCGAAGGCGGUUCUCUGGGCCUGUACUGACGCUGAGGAGCGAAAGCGUGGGGAGCGAACAGG